UACAGAGGAGCCAAGCGUUGUCCGGAUUGACUGGGCGUAAAGCGCACGCAGGCGGCACCGUGCGUGGGGUGUGAAAUCUGGCCGCUUAACGGCCAGGCGCCAUCCCAUACGGCGGAGCUGGAGUGAUGCAGAGGUCGAUGGAAUUGCCGGUGUAGUGGUGAAAUGCGUAGAGAUCGGCAGGAACACCCAGGGGGAAACCAAGUCGACUGGGCAUCGUGCUGACGCUGAUG
rnacentral:rRNA from 1 species